rnacentral:rRNA from 15 species
GACCUCAGAUCAGGCAAGACUACCCGCUGAA